rnacentral:rRNA from 1 species
AUUGAACGCUGGCGGCAGGCCUAACACAUGCAAGUCGAGCGGAUGAAGGGAGAUUGCUCCUGGAUUCAGCGGCGGACGGGUGAGUAAUGCCUAGGAAUCUGCCUGGUAGCUGGGGAUAACGUCCGGACACGGGCGCUAAUACCGCAUACGUCCUGAGGGAGAAAGGGUGGGAUCUUCGGAUCUCACGCUAUCAGAUGAGCCUAGGUCGGAUUAGCUAGUUGGUGGGGUAAAGGCCUACCAAGGCGACGAUCCGUAGCUGGUCUGAGAGGAUGAUCAGUCACACUGGAACUGAGACACGGUCCAGACUCCUACGGGAGGCAGCAGUGGGGAAUAUUGGACAAUGGGCGAAAGCCUGAUCCAGCCAUGCCGCGUGGGUGAAGAAGGUCUUCGGAUUGUAAAGCACUUUAAGUGGGGAAGAAGGGCAGUAAGUUAAUACCUUGCUGUUUUGACGGUACCAACAGAAUAAGCACCGGCUAACUUCGUG